rnacentral:misc_RNA from 1 species
AAGACUAUAGACCUGCGGAGUACCUGCGGAGGGAUCAUUAAUGGAUAAAUUAAAAGUGCACCGUGAAGGAGAUAAAAUUCUUUUUCAUGGUGUUCUUUUAUCAACCCCUUGUGUGAAACUGAUGUCAAUGUGAAGAGAGUAAAGAGUGCAUCUUUGUUCUCUCACAUGAUUCACAACCAUUCAAUCAUCUUGACUGAAUAUGACCAUAAAAAAGAAAACAACUUUCAACAAUGGAUCUCU